GGAGAAGACAGGAGCUUUGCGCUUAGAGAAGUCCCUUGGCCGGACAGAGCGCAUCUUCUUUUGCUCAUUUUUCAGGGCCUUGCCUUGUUGGCCUACCAAAUAAACAGGCUUUUUUUGAUUGAUUCGCUUACGGGUCAUUAACUAAAGACCUUGAAGUCGUGACCCAUGAGCUAGCUGAGGAAAGCGAUAUCGCGCGUAGACAUCAAGCCGUAGCGCGCGAACCAGCAACCCCUCUUUAUGAUGCUUUCCACUCUUUCGAGAGGAUUCAGUUAUUGAGUCGGUGAGCUGAUCUCGCCUUUUAUCUGGACAUUGUGAGUUCUCCCGAUCAUGACGACGAAGCGAGUGAAGGGUAGCACUGAACUGGCAAAGAGAAUGAAUGAGAUUAUGGGGCUCCGGUUCCAUCGAUUUUGACUUCAUUUUACUUAAUAGAAAGAGGUUGCAAAAAAGGAAGAGAAUGGAUCCACUCAAAAAACUUUGUUCGGAAUCUAACUCAGAGAGGCAGUGUUGAGUCCAUGCAGACUCUAAAUUCGUCUAGCGCUUCAAACCAUAUUGGAUUACUAGAUAAAGAGCGAGUGAUCACCCAUGAGGAAAUGGGCAUUGUCUAAAUCCCUGUUUUAAGAAGUUGAAAGAACGUUUUCGCCGUAUCCUUUACAAGCUUUUACACGAAGCAAUGAAUGAGUUGCUCGACGGCAUUCAUCUGUCUUUUCAGUAAAGCGAGUCUUUCAAGUAAGCCCGCCUAACAUGAAAGUCAAGCCUUUCACUUCAUUGUUCAAGUCCUGCCUUCAGAGAAAAGGGUACAGGUCGGUUUGUUGUUUCGAAAGAUUCUCGCACACGAUUCAGUCUGCCUCUGUCAAAUAAAUAAAGUGGAUGGAGAGCCUUCUUAUCCUUUUAGGUCCGACCUCUCUCUUCCACUUUCCACCCCCCUAAGCUUUACUAAAAGGAGGGUCAUCAACACCGUCAGAACCUCGCAUUUGCGGCUAAGUGUCCCUCCGCGGUAAGGAAUUGAUUUUCUUUCUUUCCCUGCAGUGCUAUAGUGCGCUUGGACUCUAUCUCCGCUGUCUGGCUUUCAUGAAGAAAGAUUGAAAGCGUCCUCUUCGAGCGACUGCGUACCUCAUGUCAAAGAUGUUCGUGUACUUUAGAAUUCGAAAUAGGACUGUUAGCGCUGGUCUCUAGCCACCUAGAACUACCAGAGACUCGAUCCACCUCAGGAACAUUCAAAAGACUAAAGCCACCUGAAACUCACUGAUUGUCUCAUGCCACCUCGGAAGAGAAGACAUAUUCUCAGACAGAAAAGAAAGGACUUACCACUUGGCCACACUCAGAAGCCGGAGUCUGAGCUAGUAGCUAGCCUCAGGUAUAGAACUGGAGUUCUCUAUCAGGGAAUUCCAGGAGUGAAAUAGUAUGGUUUGAUAGAACCAGGUAGUAGUUGGUCGGAAAGGAAGAGAAAGAUACUCCAACGGACUCGGGCAAUCCCUUUACGAAUCAAAGGGAUUGGGCUGAUUGACCCCAGGUUCCGGGACGAUAAUCAGGUAAACAGUUGAAGUACCAAAGAGCGGUCCCAAGGGACGGAAUCAAGGAAGCAAACUAAGAGCCAAAGCUCUUAGCCUCCUAAUAUGAGGAUUCGUCUCACUAAAUGAGUUGAACUGAGUUCAACGAAUCCUCAGAUUCCUUAUAUGUUCAACUCAUUUCGAGUGACAAAUGUUCCUCAGAUUCCUCAUCUCUUGGGCUUUCUCCGGUUGACGUUGAAGCCAAAGAAACGGGGGGGAAGGGCACAAAACGUAGUUACCACACCCAUUCCCAUUCCAUUAUUGAUUCGAAUAGCUAAGCGAAGGCUUAAUUGAAUGGACGAGUAAGGGAAUACGAGCUCCUUCAUCUCCUUAUAUACGUCGCCAUGUUCGUUGACGGCCGAAUAAGAAGGGGGCCAAACAGCCACUUGACGGAAGUUUUAGGGGUGAGAGCAGACCCCGAAUAGGGUGAAGGGGAUGCCUCAUUGGCAGCCGAGAGCAGCCUAUUCUGUCUGUAGCAGCUUCUUCUUUCAAAGGCAAAGGCCUUUAUAGACUCGUACAAAGAAGAAAAUAAGUUCCAUGACAUGGCACUUGCGAGGGAGUUUAGUUCAUAACCUCGUAGGCCGGGAAUGCCAUCAAGAACCCUUUUCCUCUCGGUCUCAGUGUCAGCCAAGUUAGCAUCGGCUCCAUCAUUUGAAGCUUAUGACAUUGAUGAGUGAUCCAACAGUCUUGAGUGGCAGUUCUCCAAGGAGAAGGGAUCCCAGGUAGGAGAGCCAGCCGGGCCAGGGGAAAGAGGUAGUCAAAGACUACCCGGGAGUAGGUUCUGGAAUUUAUUCAGAGUUGCCACUCCUCAAUCUUCGAAAUUCCAGCGAUAGAGGACUUGAUACUUAUCUUCGACAAGCCUUGAUCUGUGCUGAAGACAGAUUCUCUUAUCGGCUGAGGAAAUAGGUAGCCACCCAUUCUUCCUUUCCGACCUUAGCUUAGCUGCUCACGCCAAUGCUCAUGGGUAUGGGGCAAUAACUGCUGCUACUGUUAUACUCCCACACUAUAAGAGACGGCUCAUCUUCUAUCUAAGACCUCCUCAAUGAGAGGAUGCCUGAAUGCUACUUUCGUCUACGUAUGGCUUAUAUUAUAUAAGCAAUCCUCCUUCUAUGGUCUUAGGCCCAGUUUCUUUCAACUAAGAUUUAUACUAAGCUUCCUCCCCCUGAAGCCUGAGUCAAAGAAUCCGUCGAUUCCAAUUCCACUAUAGGAAGUGCUGUUAUGAUCGAUUUUCCUUCUCCUCUUCAUUAAUAGCCUGGGAACUUAGAUUCUGAAUUAGAGUAUGGCAGGUCCGUCUUUGACCUUUGACCUUUGACCGGUUCGGGUUCGGGACUCGUUCUAUGACCGUACUCCUAUGUUUUGGGAGUCUGAGAAAGCUCUUCGUCCGCAUUCGCCAAGCCUAACAAGCCUUGGAAGUCGGCUAAGGCGCAAUGCUCCCUAUUUUCCGUGCUAGCUUUUGGGUCUGCUAGCGCUUCGAUGCUUUCGAUUCUUCUUUCCUAGGCUAUUUCGUACGUGUAAGCUUUCGAAGUCGUAUAUCGAAUGAGUGGAUAUUCCCACAUCCUCCCUUCAUGCUAAGACCACUUUGUGUACUGCGUCUUCUAUCGCUAUCUACGGUGAUUCUCCCGUCUAACCGGAGUGAGGACUCAGCAUGAAUAGCCGGACGCGAGAGAAAGACAAAAACAAGGCUUCUCGCGGCCCUAUCGAAUCCGUUCCCGAGUGAAGGUCACUUCACAAGUUGCCUUCUCUGGUCUUGCGGCGCACUCACUCCCUUUCCUUCCGCUCACUUCUGGACCCUUCGCUCCCGGUUAGUGCUCUUUGGCCCGGUCUAUUCUGUCUGAUAUGAUAUCAUAUAGCCAGGAAAAAGGGAUCUACUAGUCAUCGCCUUUGAGCUGGUAUUACCUGGAGUCGGCUAUUCCUGAUUCAGCAAAGGAAAGAAACCUUGAUCCCAAGACUAGCACUGACUCUAUUAUGAGACCUCCCUCUGUCGCAAUAGAAAUCGAGAAUGGAGGUGACUUCGCUACACUUGUUUAUAGUUGGAAAUUCCAACUCGAAGGCCCUAGUACUACUGACUUUGCACCAGAAACAAUUGAAGCCUUUUUUCGGCAUCCCUUCUCAGACGUCUUAUUCCUUGCCUUAGUAAUGUGCAAUCAGCUACUUGGCACCUUCCCUUAUUCUCCCUCCUUUCCCUUCCUUGCAAAGGUCUUAUAAGGCGAUGACCCUACUUACACGAUAUGAGAAUGGUUCGACACUUUCAACCCCAUAACCCACUUCCAAGACUUUAGGACUAACUGGAUUUCUUUCGACUUAGUUCUCUGUUCGUCUCGGGUACUCGCUCUGCUAAUUGGUAUGAUAACCAGUAAAGGGAAGGUACAUAGUCAUCUUUUCCAGAGCACCCUAAACCGUAACAGCAAGACCAACGGAUAUGACCAAAAAUUCCUUGUCACGAGCUUGGCUUUGGGGACAGUUUCACCGACCUAAGAACCAUUUCCUUUAGCAGCGGCGGAGGAUAUUAUAUAAAAGCAAAGAAGAGAGCGAAGCUCCUCUCCAACCAGUCAAGUGGCCCAAGGGCCACCUUUCCUGGAUUAGAAAGAAAGCUACUAACAGUACCGUGCAAUAUCUGGCCUAGUGCAAACCAUGGCAUACAUCAAACUACCAACUGCAUAAGAAUAAGGAACAAGAGACAUUUCCUUCUUCUCUUCAUCAGUUGAUGGACUUGACUUUUUCUUUAGCCUCUCGGCUUCGAGAAGCCGUGGGCCCAGUAGUGCUUUCUUAAAGCCUGUAACCCGCUCGACGUAAGAACCGAUCUCAAGCUGGAUGAGAAGGGAAAUAAAGACUAGUGAGAAUAGCCGUAAUUCAACUAGGCCUUGAAUCAGUGGUUUACAGAGACAAUUAGUCAUCUGCUUACGGCUAAUCUGCUCUUCGAAUCGUCAUCUUAGAAUAGGUUGGAACUAUUUCAAGAUGAUAGGCUUAUUCUGAAAGUACGCAUUUCUUGCUCUAAGUCCGCUGGGUUGGAUCGAACUAGUAGGUUUGGCAGGAAGAUAAUGGCAUAAAAGAAGCAUUCCACUUUUGGAAAGAGAAGAGUCAGUCUGAUUAUAGAUCCCUCUGUCUUGCAUUGGGUUAACUGGAGCUUAGAUAAAGCGAUAGGCAGAAGAGAGAGAAUUAGUCCGUCUUUAUAGACUGACUUUCCUCGCAUCAAAGCUUUCCGGUUCUCUUCCUUUAUGAAGAAAGGAAAGGCUUGUUAUCGACGAAGAAGAUCUUUAUACUGUUCAUCCUAAGAAAAGAAGUUUUCACUCGGUACAACUAUUCUAUGCUAGCAUAGCAUGCUUCUACUUAUGUUGUGUUGCAAAUUCCGGAUCAGGAACAAUCCUUUCUUAUUCGUUGAUGCCAGUCUAAAAAUCCGUACUUGUUGACUAAAUUUCGGCUUUCUAGCUUGAAGCUUAAGGGCUAAGGGAAAUUCAUCCUUGGAUCAAUGAAAUAGUUGAAUUAGCGUUGAUGCAAGAAGCAACCUCUUAUUGAAAUGACUUUAGGAAGUGCCUAACCUUUCUCCUUCGAUCCGAUCCUUUCUGUGACCCGAAAUGAACUUAUUGUCUCUUCGUCUCUUGCCUUUGAAUCGGAUAUUCCGAUGAAAGCGGAUUCUCUUUCCGUCCCUCGUCAUCGAGAGGAAGAAUCGCUAUCUAUCUAUCCAUAUACGUAUCAACAAAUGUGGUUCCAGGGAUCGGUCGAUUGCCCCUCACCAGCAGCUAGAGGAGGAGAAAGGAAUGAUGUCCCGGCCUGGGCUGGGCACCUAUCAGCCAACUAUUCCUUUUUGGAAUGGAAAGAAGAAAGGAUGGUCGUAGAUCACUGAUGUCGAAUUCACGAAAAAGAUCAUAUGUGAAAGAAUCGUCAGAUUAUGGGUUCCCGGAGUAGACGGAAUGGAGAAUGAAUGAAAUAGAAUAGUCUGGCAGAAUCGUAUGAUAGGGAAAGUGCGGAGCCUCCCACUUGUCUGGGUUACCGGGCUGGCUAACCUAACUAUGAAUUUCUAUCAAUGUCGGGAUAGACAGAGGUCUAGGAUAGUACGCUGUCGGAGUGAGACCGGGGUACAGUAACGAAGUUAGACCGAAAUGAACGACUCAAUUCCUCUAGAAGAAAGGAGAGAGAAAGAACAACCAAUUCUAUGAAACAAUAUCGUCAUUUACUAGAAUCGGUUGCUACUAGUCCGGGUUACCUCAGAGAUAGAGCCAUUAGGCGAGAAAAAACAACCUAGUUAGUGCACUAACUCAAACCUAGUUCUUGCACGAAAUGUCCUGCUAACAUAGGAGCACUCCUACUAAGAAAUGGAAGAGCAAAUUUCUUUCUGUUCGACGACACAAUGCCUCACCUGCCCUCUGCUACACAUCUCUUUCGUUCGCCCUAGACCCACCCACCAAAUGGAACUCUGCCCUUUUUGUUGGGUUAGAGCGAGUAUGAAGUCAGGGAGGAAGAAGAGGGAAGAAAUAAUAUAGUAAUAUUAACCUUUCCUUCGCUCUAUUCCCAAGUCCUGGGCUAAGCUGAGCUUCGAAGUCGGGCUUUCUUCCUAAUCUCAUCUACUGAAAAGGGGGCCGGGCGUAGCACGUUCUUUUUUGGGACACAUAGGCUAUUACAGACGCAUCAAAAAAGACUUUUCGAAGCGCGGAAUCCCAGAAUGGAAUCAUUGCAGAAGAAAGGUAUAAGGCUUGGGAACCGGAACAGGAUUAAGCCUUUAAGCAUGCAGAUGAGUGUUUGCUGUCAGCCCCAAUCCUUCGGUUUCCGGAUUGGAAUAAGGAGUUCCAUGUUCAUACUGACGCAUCACUCUAUGCCAUUGGAUGUAUGUUGGCGCAAGAAGGGCCGCUUGAUCACUCCAUCUACUUUGAAAGUAUACGACUUUCCGCUUGGGAAUUAUAAAACCACCGAACCUUCUUUAUCAUGAUUCGACCCAUACCUCAGACCUAAGAUCGAGCACCAGAGCUGCUCAUAACAACGUACCAAAAAGAAGAAUGCGAGAAGUUCAUAUUCUCCAGAUUCUACUAUAAACCAGGUAGUGAGGAUGAAAAAAAGCAUAAGCUACCUCGUUCGUGCUCCCGUCUUUCCCGCUGCCAUCUUCGGUGGAGUAACCAAGUUUUUCUUUCUCACUCCUUAUGUACUUUUUUUUACUUCAUCCAUACUUUUUGACUUUUUCUGAAGUGUGGGGCAAACGGCGCCCUCUACUUCUACUUCUAACUAAAGGCGAACAGCCGGCAUUGCAAGCAAAUAGAAAGCCCCCGCCCGUUUGAGCCGGAAAGCGUACCGGCUGUUUGAGUCGCAUCGCAAAAGGGCUGCUUUCUUAAUAUUAUUCUUAAUAUUAUUUAUAUAAUAAUAAUAAAUAAUCUAUAAACAAAAAGAAAAAGGGGAAAUCUUUUUUCUUCAAAAAUUCUUCAUUCCUGGGAAGAAGAAGAAGCAGAUAGGACAAAGGCCUUCUCUUUCCAUUCGCUCUACUCGAAGUGAGCGAAUUGCAUGUAGAGAUCCGUAGGGGCUUAUACUUUAAUUGGUUGAAACGUACCACUCAUAACGGUGAUAUUGUAGGUUCGAGCCCUACUAAGCCUAUCACCCCCUUCUUUUCACCUGAUACAAGGCAGUUAAAUACCCACCACCCUGCAGAUCUGAAUGAUGCGAUGGGAACCACACUGCUGCCAAUGCCCUUUGGGCAUGCCUCCUAUGAAUAUCACUCACCUACGCUCUUGGCGUAUGCCACCUUUGGGCAAUAUGGUGUAAUACGCAAAGCAGUUGAGCCAUAGCUCUUCGAUUGCUAUAUUCUUGCAAUAGAGAAGGUGUGGUUUAUCCUUUAAGAGAGAGUAAAUGUGAAGGUUCGGAUUGAAUAUCUUUACAAUACAUCCUUGGGGCACCAUAGUAUGUCGGGAAUAAGGGGGUCAUAGUGAACGUAACCACUCCCUUGGUUGGGGGCUAUGAAUCCCCUAUCCUUUUAAUUUUUUGAUUCCCAGGUCUUUUUUAUUAUAACUGUUGGAAUAUUUUUGUUGACGACUUAGUCAGGGUGGUUCACUAUUUCUUUGUUGAAGGCGUUGUUAAGCCCUAACGUUUGAAUUCCAAUUUCAUUGCCCUGACAAAACUUUAUGAUCCCCACUUCCAGAAAAAAACUGAAAAGAUGGGGCGGUCGGGGACUUGAAUGAAUGUUAUUAGUCGUGAAUUUGAACUUUUUGGUAUUCUUUUGAUAUAUUUGCAAGAACAUUCUAUGGUUUUAAUAAGAGGAGGUAGAGUGAAAGAUUUUUUGGCUAAAUAAUAAUUUGGUUAUGCCCAGCCCACUAAUGGGGGGCGGUGGCUAAUCCGUACACGCAGUGGGAGGUGACAGCCAGAAAUGAGAUUUGGGGAACAAAGUCAAUUGAUGCGCUCUUAAAGGGAGAAGACAGGAGCUUUGCGCUUAGAGAAGUCCCUUGGCCGGACAGAGCGCAUCUUCUUUUGCUCAUUUUUCAGGGCCUUGCCAUGUUGGCCUACCAAAUAAACAGGAUUUUUUUGAUUGAUGAGCUUAUGGGUCAUUAACUAAAGACCUUAAAGUCGUGACCCAUGAGAUAGCUGAGGAAAGCGAUAUCGCGCGUAGACAUCAAGCCGUAGCGCGUGAACCAGCAACCCCUCUUUAUGAUGCUUUCCACUUUUUUAAGAGGAUUCAGUUAUUGAGUCGGUGAGCUAAUCUCACCUUUUCUCUAGACAUUGUGAGUUAUUUCGAUCAUGACAAUGAAGCAAGUAAAGUGUAGCACUGAACUAGCAAAAAGAAUUAAUGAGAUUAUGGGGCUUCGGUUCCAUCAAUUUUGACUUUAUUUUACUUAAUAGAAAGAGGUUGCAAAAAAGGAAGAGAAUGGAUCCACUGAAAAAACUUUGUUUGGAAUCUAACUCAGAGAGGCAGUAUUGAGUCCAUACAGACUCUAAAUUCGUCUAGCGCUGCAAACCAUAUUGGAUUACUAGAUAAAGAGCUAGUGAUCACCCAUGAGGAAAUGGGCAUUGUCUAAAUCCCUAUUUUAAGAAGUUAAAAGAACGUUUUCACUAUAUCCUUUACAAGCUUUUACACGAAGCAAUGAAUGGGUUGCUCGACGGCAUUCAUCUAUCUUUUCAGUAAAGAGAGUCUUUCAAGUAAGCCCGCCUAACAUGAAAGUCAAGCCUUUCACUUUAUUGUUCAAGUCCUGCCUUUAGAGAAAAGGGUAAAGGUCGGUUUGUUGUUUUGAAAGAUUCUCGCACAUGAUUCAGUUUGCCUUUGUCAAAUAAAUAAAGUGGAUGGAGAGCCUUCUUAUCCUUUUAGGUUUGACCUCUCUCUCCCACUUUCCACCCCCUAAGCUUUACUAAAAAAAGGGUUAUCAAUACCGUCAGAACCUUGCAUUUGUGGGUAAGUGCCCCUCCGCGGUAAGGAAUUGACUUUUUUUCUUUCUCUGCAGUGUUAUAGUAUGCUUGGACUCUAUCUCUGUUGUCUGGCUUUCAUGAAGAAAGAUUGAAAGUGUCUUCUUUGAGCGACUGCGUACCUCAUGUCAAAGAUGUUUGUGUACUUUAGAAUUCAAAAUAGGACUAUUAGCACUGGUCUCUAGCCACCUAGAACUACCAGAGACUCGAUCCAUCUCAGGAACAUUCAAAAUACUAAAGCCACCUGAAACUCACUGAUUGUCUCAUGCCACCUCGGAAGAUAAGACAUAUUCUCAGAUAGAAAAGAAAGGACUUACCACUUGGCCACACUCAGAAGCCAGAGUCUGAGCUAGUAGCUAGCCUCAGGUAUAGAAUUGGAGUUCUCUAUCAGGGAAUUCCAGGAGAGAAAUAGUAUGGUUUGAUAGAACCAGGUAGUAGUUGGUCGGAAAGGAAGAGAAAUAUACUCCAACGGAAUUGGGCAAUCCCUUUAUAAAUCAAAGGGAUUGGGCUGAUUAACCCUAGGUUCCAGGAUGAUAAUCAGGUAAAUAGUUGAAGUACCAAAGAGCGGUCCCAAGGGACGAAAUCAAGGAAGCAAACUAGGAGCCAAAGCACUUAUCCUCCUAAUAUGAGUAUUCGUCUCACUAAAUGAGUUGAACUGAGUUCAAAAACUCCUUAGAUUUCUUAUAUGUUCAACUCAUUUUGAGUGACAAAUGUUCCUCAGAUUUCUCAUCUCUUGGGCUUUCUCCGGUUGACGUUGAAGCCAAAGAAACAGGGGGGAAGGGCACAAAACGUAGUUACCACACCUAUUCCUAUUCCAUUAUUGAUUUGAAUAGCUAAGAGAAGGAUUAAUUGAAUUAACGAGUAAGUGAAUAUGAGCUCCUUCAUCUCCUUAUAUACGUCACCAUGUUUGUUGAUGGCUAAAUAAGAAGGGGGCUAAACAGCCACGUGACGAAAGUUUUAGGGGUAAGAGCAGACCCCAAAUAGGGUGAAGGGUAUGCCUUAUUAUCAGUCGAAAGCAUCCUAUUCUAUGUGUAGCAGCUUCUUCUUUCAAAGGGAAAGGCCUUUAUAGACUCGUACAAAGAAGAAAAUAAGUUCCAUGAUGUGGCACUUGCAAGGAAGUUUAGUUCAUAACCUCGUAGGCCGGGAAUGCCAUCAAGAACCUUUUUCCUCUCGAUCUCAGUGUCAGCCAAGUUAGCAUCGGCUCCAUCAUUUGAAGCUUAAGACAUUGAUGAGUGAUCCAAUAGUCUUGAGUAAUAGUUCUCCAAGGAGAAGGGAUCCUAGGUAGGAGAGCCAGCUGGGCCAGGGGAAAGAGGUAGUCAAAGACUACUCGGUGGUAGGUUCUAGAAUUUAUUCAGAGUUUCCACUCCUCAAUCUUUGAAAUUACAGCGAUAGAGGAGUUGAUACUUAUCUUCGACAAGCCUUGAUCUGUGCUGAAGACAGAUUCUCUUAUCGGUUGAGGAAAUAGGUAGCCACCCAUUCUUCCUUUCUGACCUUAGCUUAGCUGCUCAUGAUAAUGCUCAUGGGUAUGGGGCAAUAACUGGUGCUACUAUUAUACUCCCUCACUAUAAGAGAUGGCUCAUCUUCUAUCUAAGACCUCCUCAAUGAGAGGAUGACUGAAUGCUACUUUCGUCUACGUAUGACUUAUAUUAUAUAAGCAAUCCUCCUUCUAUGGUCUUAGGCCCAAUUUCUUUCAACUGAUAUUUAUACUAAGCUUUCUCCCCCUGAAUCCUGAGUCAAAGAAUCAAUCGAUUCCAAUGCCACUAUAGGAAGUGUUGUUAUAUCGAUUUUCCUUCUCUUCUUCAUUAAUAUCCUGGGAACUUAGAUUCUGAAUUAGAGUAUGGUAGGUCCAUCUUUUACCUUUGACCUUUGACUGGUUUGGAUUCGAGACUCAUUCUAUGACCGUACUCCUAUGUUUUGGGAGUCUGAGAAAGCUCUUUGUCUGCAUUCUCCAAGCCUAACAAGCCUUGGAAGUCGGCUAAGGUGCAAUGCUCCCUAUUUUCUAUGCUACCUUUUGGGUAUACUAGCGCUUCGAUGCUUUUGAUUCUUCUUUCCUAGGCUAUUUCAUAUGUGUAAGCUUUCAAAGUUGUAUAUCAAAUCGGUGGAUAUUCCCACAUCCUCCCUUCAUGCUAAGACAACUUUGUGUACCAUGUCUUCUAUCGCUAUCUACAGUGAUUCUCCUAUCUAACUGGAGGAAAGACUGAGCAGGAAUAGCCAGACGUGAAAUAAAGACAAAAACAAGGCUUCUCGCGGCCCUAUCGAAUUCAUUCUCGAGUGAAGAUCACUUCACAAGUUGCCUUCUCUGGUCUUGCAGCGCACUCACUCUCUUUCCUUCUGCUUACUUUUGGAUCUUCACUCCCGAUUAGUGCUCUUUGGAGGAUUUUAUUCUAUCUGAUAUGAUAUCAUAUAGCCAGGAAAAGGGAUCUACUAGUCAUCACCUUUGAGCUGGUAUUACCUGGAGUCGGCUAUUCCUGAUUCAGUAAAGGAAAGAAACCUUGAUCCCAAGACUAGCACUGACUCUAUUAUGAGACCUCCCUCUGUCGUAAUAGAAAUCGAGAAUGGAGGUGACUUUGCUACACUUGUUUAUAGUUGGAAAUUCUAACUCGAAGGCCCUAGUACUCAUGACUUUGCACCAGAAACAAUUGAAGACUUUUUUCGGCAUCUCUUCUCAGACGUCUUAUUCCUUGCCUUAGUUAUGUGCAAUCAACUACUUGGCACCUUUCCUUAUUCUCCCUCCUUUCCCUUUUUUGCAAAGGUCUUAUAAGGCGAUGACCCUACU
rnacentral:lncRNA from 1 species